rnacentral:lncRNA from 1 species
GUAUAAUUCGGAGUUUAGUAUGACGUCCAUUAUCACUGAACUAGUAUACACAUUUGUUUAGGGGCCAGCUGAAGGAUGCCUCCUGGUGGGGGGUUUCUCGCUACAUUGAAGACCCAUUGGCGGCGUUCGGCUGUUGUCUGCUCUAUGGUAGGGUUGUUAUCGCUUUGACACAUUCCCCAUUUCCUUUCUCAAUUUUAUUAGAAAGUUCGGGAAUUACUUUGUUAAAUUACUGAUUAUUGAACCACGAGGAAAUGUUCGUUCUUUAAUUUGUACACGAAGCUAGCUGUCCUUAUCUCGUCCUUAUGUCCUAAUUUUAUGAAAAGUUACGGGAUUCUCCUUCAAACCGUCCAAUAAUAACUUUACUUUGAACAUACAGAAAUUCUUUUUUUAAUUAUUUCAAAUAUGAUACAGUAUUGGCAUACAAAAGGGUUCUUUUUUAAAUUGUGCGAAUAAUAAUAAUUUCCUUGAAAUAGGUGAUCGAUACAUCGCGUAACCAACGACUCAUGAUGAAUUUUAUUCCAAUUCAUUUCAUUUACGUACAUCAAGGAUUAAAGUAUAAAAUGAUAUAUUAGAAUAGUGUCAAUAUACAGCAAUUUUCAUUGUUUUCAUAUUUUUUAUUUACAAGUGAUAUUUACAGUGUAAUCUAUUAUCAAACUAUAAAAAUGUUCAUAUCUAUCUAAUAUAUACUCUACAUAGCAAUACAACAAGACAGUUGGUUCAAACAUCUUUAAUAUGUGUCCAUUUGUGUCUAAAAAUAGAAAAAAAAGUCUUAUAUCAUGACAUUAAAGCUACACCAUAACAAAUACUUGCAGUCAAAGGAAUAUGGCAUACGACUUCAAAAAUAGAAAUAUAAACAUGAUAAAGGAAUGUACAUGAUGAAGUUGUAUUUAUUUUUAUAAUUCCCCUUGUAAAAUAAAUGAUUACAUAAUAAGUAGAUGUUUUAGUAUGUUAGUAUGCAUUGUUUGUACGGUCUGAAACACUUAUUUAAUCAUUUCCAUCUGAUACCAAUCUCAAAUAAAGUUAUUUUUACCGAAUACAUGCUGAAAUAUAUACUCUGUUGUCGUUUGUUUAUAUGUUACAUAUUUUUUUUUCGUUCUUUUUUUGUACAUAAAUUAUGCCGUUAGUUUUCUCGUUUGAAUCGUUUUACAUUGUCAUUUCAGGGCCUUUUAUAGCUGACUGCGGUAUGCAUGGUAUGAGAUUUGCUCAUUGUUUAAGGCUGUGCGGUGACCUAUAGUUAUAUUUUUUUUGUGUCAUUUGGUCUCUUGUGGAGACUUGUCUCAAUGACUAUCAUAUUACAUCAUUUUUUCAUAUUUGUAGAUAAAUGAUAAUCAAGAAUACUUACUGCCAGCAACGCUUACAUCUGCAAAAUCAACUCGAAAUGAAAUAAUUCGUCAUAAUUAUAAGUCAACUUGAUAUUUUUCGAAAUACUAUGGACGUUCUAUGGCAUAAAAACAUUAUCUUAGC